rnacentral:rRNA from 1 species
GAGUUGAUCUUGGCUCAGAUUGAACGCUGGCGGCAUGCCUUACACAUGCAAGUCGAACGGCAGCACGGGAGCUUGCUCCUGGUGGCGAGUGGCGAACGGGUGAGUAAUGCAUCGGAACGUAUCCUGGAGUGGGGGAUAACGUAGCGAAAGUUACGCUAAUACCGCAUAUUCUGUGAGCAGGAAAGCGGGGGACCUUCGGGCCUCGCGCUCUUGGAGCGGCCGAUGUCGGAUUAGCUAGUGGUGAGGUAAAGGCUCACCAAGGCGACGAUCCGUAGCAGGUCUGAGAGGAUGAUACUGCCACACUGGAACUGAGACACGGUCCAGACUCC